rnacentral:tRNA from 1 species
ACCUGGGUGGCUCAGUUGGUUAAGCGUCUGAUUUCGGCUCAGGUCAUGAUCUCACAGUUCGUGGGUUUGAGCCCCACAUCGGGUU